rfam:Loxodonta africana unplaced genomic scaffold scaffold_14, whole genome shotgun sequence.
UAAUUGGCCUUACUCAAGGCCAACUGAUUUAAAUGUUAAUCUAUGU